UACGUAGGGUGCAAGCGUUAAUCGGAAUUACUGGGCGUAAAGCGUGCGCAGGCGGUUGUGCAAGACCGAUGUGAAAUCCCCGGGCUUAACCUGGGAAUGGCAUUGGUGACUGCACGGCUAGGAGUGUGUCAGAGGGGGGUAGAAUUCCAACGUGUAGCAGUGAAAUGCGUAGAGAUGUGGAGGAAUACCGAUGGCGAAGGCAGCCCCCUGGGAUAAC
rnacentral:rRNA from 1 species